rnacentral:rRNA from 1 species
AUUAGACUACCCGCGUAGUCCCAGCCGUAAACUAUGCGCGUUAGGUGUAUCGGUGACCACGAGUUACCGAGGUGCCGAAGGGAAACCGUGAAACGUGCCGCCUGGGAAGUACGGUCGCAAGGCUGAAACUUAAAGGAAUUGGCGGGGAGCACCACAACAGGUGGAGCCUGCGGUUUAAUUGGACUCAACGCCGGGAAGCUCACCGGAUAGGACAGCAGAAUGAUUGCCGGGCUGAAGACCCUGCAUGACUAGCUG